YGUCUUUGGAAUUUUAUCAAAGGCACAGCCUGCCCGGUGAGACGGUAGUUAAACGGCGGCAUUAGCGUGAUUGUCCAAAGGUAGCAUAUAAUACGCCUCUUAAUUAGUGGCUGGUAUGAAGGGUUAGACGUGGGAGUAGCUGUCUUCUGGGCAUAUAUAGAACUUAUUUUGUAGGUGAAUAGACCUUUUUUUGGUUUCGGGACGGGUAGACCCCGAUGAGCUUGAUAGCGGGUGAUAGGUUUUCAGCUAAGGUUUAGAUUAAUUAACUUGGUGUUAGGCUGUUACUUCUUUUGUUGGGAGAACCGAGAUCAUGAAUAAAUGAUUCCACUUUUUGAUGUAUUAAUAAUUAUGUUGACCUUUAUUGAAAGACAAUUUUUAGUUAGAAAAUGCUACCGCGGGGAUAACAGCACUAUCCUUUCGGAGAGAAUAAAUUGCAGAGAGGGUUUAUGACCUCGAUUUUGGGUCAGAUGAUUCUGGGUGAUAUAAGAGCUCGCCCAAUGAUGGACUGUUCGUCCUUUAAAUUUCU
rnacentral:rRNA from 1 species